rnacentral:tRNA from 1 species
GAGUGUAUAGCUCAGUGGUAGAGCAACAACCUUUUAAGUUGAAGGUCCUGGGUUCAAGUCCCAGUACACUCA